rnacentral:rRNA from 1 species
UGGGUAGUCCGCACGAGCGCACCUUGUCAUCAGUUGCUACGAAAGGGCACUCUGAUGAGACUGCCGGUGACAAACCGGAGGAAGGUGGGGAUGACGUCAGGUCCUCAUGGCCCUUAUGGGUAGGGCUACACACGUCAUACAAUGGCCGGUACAGAGGGCUGCCAACCCGCGAGGGGGAGCCAAUCCCAGAAAACCGGUCGUAGUCCGGAUCGCAGUCUGCAACUCGACUGCGUGAAGUCGGAAUCGCUAGUAAUCGCGGAUCAGCUUGCCGCGGUGAAUACGUUCCCGGGUCUUGUACACACCGCCCGUCACACCAUGGGAGCGGGUUCUGCCAGAAGUAGUUAGCCUAACCGCAAGGAGGGCGAUUACCACGGCAGGGUUCGUGACUGGGGUGAAGUCGUAACAAGGUAGCCGUAUCGGAAGGUGCGGCUGGAUCACCUCCUUUCU